GGGUUGUGAGGUUAAGCGACUAAGCGUACACGGUGGAUGCCCUGGCAGUCAGAGGCGAUGAAGGACGUGCUAAUCUGCGAAAAGCGUCGGUAAGGUGAUAUGAACCGUUACAGCCGGCGAUGUCCGAAUGGGGAAACCCAGUGCAAUUCGUUGCACUAUCGUUAACUGAAUACAUAGGUUAACGAGGCGAACCGGGGGAACUGAAACAUCUAAGUACCCCGAGGAAAAGAAAUCAACCGAGAUUCCCCCAGUAGCGGCGAGCGAACGGGGAGCAGCCCAGAGUCUGAAUCAGCUUGUGUGUUAGUGGAACGGUCUGGAAAGUCCGACGGUACAGGGUGAUAGUCCCGUACACCAAAAUGCACAGGCUGUGAACUCGAAGAGUAGGGCGGGACACGUGGUAUCCUGUCUGAAUAUGGGGGGACCAUCCUCCAAGGCUAAAUACUCCUGACUGACCGAUAGUGAACCAGUACCGUGAGGGAAAGGCGAAAAGAACCCCGGCGAGGGGAGUGAAAAAGAACCUGAAACCGUGUACGUACAAGCAGUGGGAGCACCUUCGGGUGUGACUGCGUACCUUUUGUAUAAUGGGUCAGCGACUUAUAUUCUGUAGCAAGGUUAACCGUAUAGGGGAGCCGCAGGGAAACCGAGUCUUAACUGGGCGUUAAGUUGCAGGGUAUAGACCCGAAACCCGGUGAUCUAGCCAUGGGCAGGUUGAAGGUUGGGUAACACUAACUGGAGGACCGAACCGACUAAUGUUGAAAAAUUAGCGGAUGACUUGUGGCUGGGGGUGAAAGGCCAAUCAAACCGGGAGAUAGCUGGUUCUCCCCGAAAGCUAUUUAGGUAGCGCCUCGUGAACUCAUCUUCGGGGGUAGAGCACUGUUUCGGCUAGGGGGUCAUCCCGACUUACCAACCCGAUGCAAACUACGAAUACCGAAGAAUGUUAUCACGGGAGACACACGGCGGGUGCUAACGUCCGUCGUGAAGAGGGAAACAACCCAGACCGCCAGCUAAGGUCCCAAAGUCAUGGUUAAGUGGGAAACGAUGUGGGAAGGCACAGACAGCCAGGAUGUUGGCUUAGAAGCAGCCAUCAUUUAAAGAAAGCGUAAUAGCUCACUGGUCGAGUCGGCCUGCGCGGAAGAUGUAACGGGGCUAAACCAUGCACCGAAGCUGCGGCAGCGACACUAUGUGUUGUUGGGUAGGGGAGCGUUCUGUAAGCCUGCGAAGGUGACCUGUGAGGGUUGCUGGAGGUAUCAGAAGUGCGAAUGCUGACAUAAGUAACGAUAAAGCGGGUGAAAAGCCCGCUCGCCGGAAGACCAAGGGUUCCUGUCCAACGUUAAUCGGGGCAGGGUGAGUCGACCCCUAAGGCGAGGCCGAAAGGCGUAGUCGAUGGGAAACAGGUUAAUAUUCCUGUACUUGGUGUUACUGCGAAGGGGGGACGGAGAAGGCUAUGUUAGCCGGGCGACGGUUGUCCCGGUUUAAGCAUGUAGGCUGAUUGUCCAGGCAAAUCCGGAUAAUCAAGGCUGAGGUGUGAUGACGAGGCACUACGGUGCUGAAGUAACAAAUGCCCUGCUUCCAGGAAAAGCCUCUAAGCAUCAGGUAACAUCAAAUCGUACCCCAAACCGACACAGGUGGUCAGGUAGAGAAUACCAAGGCGCUUGAGAGAACUCGGGUGAAGGAACUAGGCAAAAUGGUGCCGUAACUUCGGGAGAAGGCACGCUGGUGUGUAGGUGAAGUCCCUGCGGAUGGAGCUGAGACCAGUCGAAGAUACCAGCUGGCUGCAACUGUUUAUUAAAAACACAGCACUGUGCAAACACGAAAGUGGACGUAUACGGUGUGACGCCUGCCCGGUGCCGGAAGGUUAAUUGAUGGGGUUAUCCGUAAGGAGAAGCUCUUGAUCGAAGCCCCGGUAAACGGCGGCCGUAACUAUAACGGUCCUAAGGUAGCGAAAUUCCUUGUCGGGUAAGUUCCGACCUGCACGAAUGGCGUAAUGAUGGCCAGGCUGUCUCCACCCGAGACUCAGUGAAAUUGAACUCGCUGUGAAGAUGCAGUGUACCCGCGGCAAGACGGAAAGACCCCGUGAACCUUUACUAUAGCUUGACACUGAACAUUGAGCCUUGAUGUGUAGGAUAGGUGGGAGGCUUUGAAGCGUGGACGCCAGUCUGCGUGGAGCCAACCUUGAAAUACCACCCUUUAAUGUUUGAUGUUCUAACGUUGGCCCCUGACCGGGGUUGCGGACAGUGUCUGGUGGGUAGUUUGACUGGGGCGGUCUCCUCCCAAAGCGUAACGGAGGAGCACGAAGGUUAGCUAAUCCUGGUCGGACAUCAGGAGGUUAGUGCAAUGGCAUAAGCUAGCUUGACUGCGAGCGUGACGGCGCGAGCAGGUGCGAAAGCAGGUCAUAGUGAUCCGGUGGUUCUGAAUGGAAGGGCCAUCGCUCAACGGAUAAAAGGUACUCCGGGGAUAACAGGCUGAUACCGCCCAAGAGUUCAUAUCGACGGCGGUGUUUGGCACCUCGAUGUCGGCUCAUCACAUCCUGGGGCUGAAGUAGGUCCCAAGGGUAUGGCUGUUCGCCAUUUAAAGUGGUACGCGAGCUGGGUUUAGAACGUCGUGAGACAGUUCGGUCCCUAUCUGCCGUGGGCGCUGGAGAAUUGAGGGGGGCUGCUCCUAGUACGAGAGGACCGGAGUGGACGCAUCACUGGUGUUCGGGUUGUCAUGCCAAUGGCACUGCCCGGUAGCUAAAUGCGGAAGAGAUAAGUGCUGAAAGCAUCUAAGCACGAAACUUGCCCCGAGAUGAGUUCUCCCUGAGACUUUAAGUCUCCUGAAGGAACGUUAAAGACGAUGACGUUGAUAGGCCGGGUGUGUAAGCGCAGCGAUGCGUUGAGCUAACCGGUACUAAUGAACCGUGAGGCUUAACCUUACAACGCCGAAG
rnacentral:rRNA from 1 species